AUUUCUUCUAAUUGCGAAAUAGAUGUGCUUAAAGAAAAACUUGAAGAGCAACGAACACGGCAAGAGGAAGAAUUAGCUCAAAUGAAAGCUCAAUUGGAUGCUCAACAAGCUGUUGUGAACUCUCUCAUAGCGCGCUUUGACAAUGAA